rnacentral:rRNA from 1 species
GAUGAACGCUGGCGGCGUGCCUAAUACAUGCAAGUCGAGCGAACAGACGAGGAGCUUGCUCCUCUGACGUUAGCGGCGGACGGGUGAGUAACACGUGGAUAACCUACCUAUAAGACUGGGAUAACUUCGGGAAACCGGAGCUAAUACCGGAUAACAUGUUGAUCCGUAUGGUUCAAUAGUGAAAGACGGUCUUGCUGUCACUUAUAGAUGGAUCCGCGCCGCAUUAGCUAGUUGGUAAGGUAACGGCUUACCAAGGCAACGAUGCGUAGCCGACCUGAGAGAGGGAUAGGCGACACUGGAGCUGAAACACGGUCAAGACUCCUGAGGGAGGGAGCAGUAGGGUAUCUGCCGCAAUGGGCGAAAACCUGACGGAGCAACGGCGCGUGAGUGAAGAAGGUCUUCGGAGCGUAAAACUGUGUUAUGAGUGAUGAACAGAUGUGUAAGUAGACAUGCAGGUAUUGACGGUACCGAAUCAGGAAGCCACGGCUAACUACGUG